GUCUUCCAUGUUAGUUGUUUGAACAUACCUCUGCUGUUUGAAUUUUGUUUUAAAGUUACUCUGAGUAGGAAACAUUAAAAGUGAUUUGAACCUGACCAGGAUGGCUCAGAGGUUGAGGAUCAGAAGAGCA